UACGUAGGAGACGAGCGUUGUCCGGAGUUACUGGGCGUAAAGGGUGCGCAGGUGGCGGCGCGCGUGGGGGGUGAAAUCGCCCGGCUUAACUGGGCGGGGGCCUUCCAGACGGCGUGGCUUGAGCAGCGGAGGGGGACGUGGAAUUCCGGGUGGAGCGGUGAAAUGCGUAGAGAUCCGGAGGAACACCGACCGGCGGCAGGCAGC
rnacentral:rRNA from 1 species